UACGUAGGUGACAAGCGUUGUCCGGAUUUACUGGGCGUAAAGAGCGCGCAGGCGGUCGUUCAAGUCGAGUGUGAAAGCCCCCGGCUCAACUGGGGAGGGUCACUCGAUACUGAUCGACUCGAAGGCAGGAGGAGGGUAGUGGAAUUCCCGGUGUAGUGGUGAAAUGCGCAGAUAUCAGGAGGAACACCGAUGGCGAAGGCAGGUCUCUGGGCAUUAACUGACGCUGAGGAGCGAAAGCAUGGGGAGCGAACAGG
rnacentral:rRNA from 1 species